CCUUCUUCAAACUCUUCUCGUUUGGAGUCCCCCAAGGCUCUGUCUCUUUAUACUGCCUGUCUUGGCAAACUUAUUACCUCUUUUGGAUUCCAUAUCACCUGUACGCUGAUGACACCAAGAUAUAUCUCUUCUCCGGCUUCAAUGUCACAAAAAAAAAAAUACAUUGUUUCAAGCCUCUUCUUCUCUGUAUUCUUACUCUAUGCUGACUGCGAGGUGUAAAGGACAUGGUUUAUAACAAUGAUUGAUAUGACUGGCAUUGAAGCCAAGAUGGAGGUUCCCAGUUUCAGGAUAAAAAGUGUGAAAUUCUACAAUUAAAGGGAACCAAUAACAACAUCAAUUAAGU